UACGUAGGGGGCAAGCGUUGUCCGGAAUUAUUGGGCGUAAAGCGCGUGUAGGCGGCUUGGUAAGUCUGGUGUGAAACCUUGGGGCUCAACCCCAAGCCUGCAUCGGAUACUGCCUCGCUAGAGUUCGGGAGGGGAGAGCGGAAUUCCUAGUGUAGCGGUGGAAUGCGCAGAUAUUAGGAAGAACACCCGUGGCGAAGGCGGCUCUCUGGAACGAUACUGACGCUGAGACGCGAAAGCGUGGGGAGCGAACAGG
rnacentral:rRNA from 1 species